rnacentral:rRNA from 1 species
GUAGGUGGCAAGCGUUGUCCGGAAUUAUUGGGCGUAAAGCGCGCGCAGGUGGUUCUUUAAGUCUGAUGUGAAAGACCCCCGGGCUCAACCGGGGAGGGUCAUUGGAAACUGGGGAACUUGAGUGCAGGAGAGGAAAGUGGAAUUCCACGUGUAGCGGUGAAAUGCGUAGAUAUGUGGAGGAACACCAGUGGCGAAGGCGACUUUCUGGCCUGUAACUGACACUGAGGCGCGAAAGCGUGGGGAGCAAACAGGACUAGAUACCCUGGUAGUCCACGCCGUAAACGAUGAGUGCUAAGUGUUGGGGGGGUUUCCGCCCCUCAGUGCUGCAGCUAACGCAUUAAGCACUCCGCCUGGGGAGUACGGUCGCAAAGGCUG